GCUCAGUUGGUAAAGCACAAAGCUCUUAACCUUGUGGCGUGGGUUCAAGCCCCAU
rnacentral:tRNA from 1 species